rnacentral:rRNA from 1 species
UACGAAGGGGACUAGCGUUGUUCGGAAUUACUGGGCGUAAAGGGCGCGUAGGCGGGAUGGCAAGUCGGUCGUGAAAUCCUUCGGCUCAACCGAAGAACGUCGAUGGAUACUGCUGCUCUUGAGGGUUGCAGAGGAGACUGGAAUUCCCGGUGUAGCGGUGAAAUGUGUAGAGAUCGGGAGGAACACCGGUGGCGAAGGCGGGUCUCUGGGCAAUUCCUGACGCUGAGGCGCGAAAGCGUGGGGAGCAAACGGG